rnacentral:rRNA from 1 species
AGAGUUUGAUCAUGGCUCAGAUUGAACGCUGGCGGCAGGCUUAACACAUGCAAGUCGAGCGGAAACGAUGGUAGCUUGCUACCAGGCGUCGAGCGGCGGACGGGUGAGUAAUACUUAGGAAUCUACCUAGUAGUGGGGGAUAGCACGGGGAAACUCGUAUUAAUACCGCAUACGACCUACGGGAGAAAGGGGGCAGUUUACUGCUCUCGCUAUUAGAUGAGCCUAAGUCGGAUUAGCUAGAUGGUGGGGUAAAGGCCUACCAUGGCGACGAUCUGUAGCUGGUCUGAGAGGAUGAUCAGCCACACCGGGACUGAGACACGGCCCGGACUCCUACGGGAGGCAGCAGUGGGGAAUAUUGGACAAUGGGGGAAACCCUGAUCCAGCCAUGCCGCGUGUGUGAAGAAGGCCUUUUGGUUGUAAAGCACUUUAAGCAGUGAAGAAGACUCUUCGGUUAAUACCCGGAGACGAUGACAUUAGCUGCAGAGUAAGCACCGGCUAACUCUGUGCCAGCAGCCGCGGUAAUACAGAGGGUGCAAGCGUUAAUCCGGAAUUACUGGGCGUAAAGCGAGCGUAAGUGG